rnacentral:rRNA from 1 species
GAUGAACGCUGGCGGCGUGCUUAACACAUGCAAGUCGAACGGAAAGGCUCCUGCUUGCAGGGGUACUCGAGUGGCGAACGGGUGAGUAACACGUGGGUGAUCUGCCCUGCACUUCGGGAUAAGCCUGGGAAACUGGGUCUAAUACCGGAUAGGACGAUGGUUUGGAUGCCAUUGUGGAAAGUUUUUUCGGUGUGGGAUGAGCUCGCGGCCUAUCAGCUUGUUGGUGGGGUAAUGGCCUACCAAGGCGUCGACGGGUAGCCGGCCUGAGAGGGUGUACGGCCACAUUGGGACUGAGUUACGGCCCAGACUCCUACGGGAGGCAGCAGUGGGGAAUAUUGCACAAUGGGCGCAAGCCUGAUGCAGCGACGCCGCGUGGGGGAUGACGGCCUUCGGGUUGUAAACUCCUUUCGCUAGGGACGAAGCGCAAGUGACGGUACCUGGAGAAGAAGCACCGGCUAACUACGUG